rnacentral:rRNA from 1 species
UACGUAGGGUGCAAGCGUUAAUCGGAAUUACUGGGCGUAAAGCGUGCGCAGGCGGUUCUAUAAGACAGAUGUGAAAUCCCCGGGCUCAACCUGGGAACUGCAUUUGUGACUGUAGAGCUGGAGUACGGUAGAGGGGGAUGGAAUUCCGCGUGUAGCAGUGAAAUGCGUAGAUAUGCAGAGGAACACCGAUGGCGAAGGCAAUCCCCUGGACCUGUACUGACGCUCAUGCACGAAAGCGUGGGAGCAAACAGG